rnacentral:rRNA from 1 species
UACGUAGGGUGCGAGCGUUAAUCGGAAUUACUGGGCGGAAAGCGAGCGUAGUCGGUUAUUUAAGUCGGAUGUGAAAUCCCCGGGCUCAACCUGGGAAUUGCAUUCGAUACUGGAUAGCUAGAGUUCGGCAGAGGGAAGCGGAAUUUCGGGUGUAGCGGUGAAAUGCGCAGAUAUCAGGAGGAACACCGGUGGCGAAGGCGGGUCUCUGGGCCGAUACUGACGCUGAGGAGCGAAAGCGUGGGGAGCGAACAGG